GCUAAGGCCACCAUCAACGUCUGGGCUCCGGAGAUACAGCAGCCCAAUGAAUUCAGCCUCUCCCAGAUAUGGAUUUUAGGUGGUUCCUUCGGCCAGGACCUCAACAGCAUUGAAGCUGGUUGGCAGGUCAGCCCGGAUCUGUAUGGGGAUAACAGCACCAGGCUCUUCACCUACUGGACUAGUGAUGCUUACCAAGCAACUGGGUGCUACAACUUGCUCUGUUCAGGCUUCAUCCAGAUCAACAGUGAGAUUGCUAUGGGAGCCACCAUCUCACCUGUCUCUGCAUUCGGUGACUCCCAA
rnacentral:misc_RNA from 1 species